AUUCGAAGACUGCCAGUGUACCGAAAGUUGAGACUGUAAAGUCAGACAACAAGGAUGACGACAUCGAUAUUGAUGCCAUUUAAAGGGAUGGAUGCAACCUAGCUUAACAGUAUAAUGCUGCAAAUUUUCCUCCAUUAUCAGCCAGAAGUGCAACAUAAUGUCUUAUUUAAAAAGAAAGCUAAAAGUAUACUUCUAAGUCAGAGCCUCUAUUUUGGUGUAAGACUUGGGAUAUUUUUUACUUCACAUUGAAUAUAGCCAGGCACCCAAGAAGUCUGAUGGCCACCUGAGUGCAGGUGACAAGGACCUGACAGCCCAUGCAGGGCUUUAGAUUUGGACACACAAGAGUUGAUAACUUCCUCAUGAACUCCUUGCCUGAUCUAAA
rnacentral:sRNA from 1 species